ensembl:lncRNA
AUCCAUUGGUGUUUGGGUGAAAAAAGUGACCAAUAACCAGGGGGGAGGCGUGGCUCCACAGGAUAUCCUCGUCCCCUUCCCAGCGCUUCCGGGUUCUCCUUGCGUGCCACUCCCACAUGUAGAACCCCUUUCUGGGAGGCAUGUUCGCAAUUUCUACCGUGUUCCUGGGUGGUUUGUCUUAAUCCAUACAGGAAAGGACAGUUAGCGACCGGACAGGUGACUGCCUUGGAUGAAGUCCUUGCCUCUGAUCAACAAAAGCCUUCUCUGGAAGAGCACAGCAGCUCCCCUAGGAGGUGCUAGGGAGACGGAACCAGAAAAUGAAGAGCACACACGUGGGAAGAGAAAGGCUGAGAAUCACAACAAUCUCAUGAACGAGACCCAUGUUCAGUGUGAAAAAGCGUACCCCUAAACGGGGAGCCGCGUCUCUCGCUCCGAUCGCGGGGUGGGGUGCCCCCAGGAAUCACGAGUAGCCGUCUUGAUGUAACAGCAAGAGUGCAGGGCUAUCUGAGAGGUGCCUGGUCCCAUGCUACACGGAAGUGAGACAUCCAGGUGACCACUGUGCUGACAAAGCUGGGAUCACAUUGCCAGUCCACCACUGGGAUCUACUCAGUAGUCACGAGAUUCCCCGAAGCUGGGCCUGCUGGGCUCUGUCAGCGUCCAGCAUCCAUCUACGAGCACCCAGGUGUCUCUGCAUCAUCGCCCUGUGAUGCUUCUAAAUCUCACUCACCAGGAUGCUCCUGCAGCAAGGAGGUCAGGCCUUCCAGAGGGCUGCCUGGGGCUUAAGUCGACGGUGGACUUCAUCACCACUACUUUACGGUACAUGCAGGCUGUAGAUGUCCCGCUCUUGUCUUGCACCCCAGCCAAAUCCCAUUACCGACCUGAGGGCCAGGAACAGCAGUGUGUCUAUGCAACUUCCUCCAGGGACAUUUCCGGGCAGCCCAGGUAUGAAAGAAGGAUAUCUGCAUGGCCAUCUUCAGUGUUCCAUGAAUCCCAGUUUAAGAAAGAGCACGUGCGACCUGCCUGACUGGAAUUUGUGUGCAAGAAGAGACGGGGACAGAGACACAGACAGAACCUCACAGUGCAUGGACGUCAAGGAGUCAUCAGGAUGCGAGGCCAGAUCUCCAACCCAGGCUGGCCAGAGUCUCCGGGAAGUCCUCGUUGGUUUUGUCUGAUUAGCUAGCCUGUUCCAGAGGCUGAAGCCAGCACUGAAUCCAUGGAAUGAACUUCCCAGAGUUGUGCAUUAUGGGUUGGGGAACAUGGGGUCUAAUGGUGCCCUUCCUGCCUCUGAGAGGGAUAGGACACUCCUCUCUUCUCAAAUUAGACAGGAAAAAAAUGUCUGUCCUAAGAGAGCUUAGUGUUGCUCAGGGGACAGAGUAGAUAAGAAACAGGAAUGUGUUUCCCAGGGGCAGAAUACUACUGGGACAGGGUGUUGAACUCAGCAGAUAUCCCAGCAGGGUGACUAUGCCAGGAACCUUGUUGUCCUGUGUUCAAAUUAGGAG